GGCUCAUUUCCACAUUCCUCCCAAAUCUCCACCCUACCCUCAACCAAAGUAAAUGAACCCAUUUUCCUCAAUGGCUUCCAUAGUUCCAUUUGGUUAUUUAAAAACAUGCUCAUAUUUUUCUAGGUUAAGUAGCCCAACUUUUCCAACCGGAAGAAAGGAACUACAAGUUGCCAAGGCACCUGGAGUUCACAGGAGAAGGGAGAAGGCACUUGCAAAGAAGCUGCAUUCUGACUCCAAGUCCCUAGCCUACAGCGACACCAUUGAACAGUGCUGGCCCUGGAUUUGGGAGUUUUGCAAGCAGCUGCCUCCUGCAGUGAGCUCAGGUGGCGAGGGCAGCUUUGGACACAUUUUGCUCACCUGACGUCUGCACCCUGCUUUGCUCAUAGGACGUGGUUGACCUCUACCUGCUGGAUGAAGGAACUGGGACAGUGCAGUGG
rnacentral:lncRNA from 1 species